ensembl:snRNA U1 U1 spliceosomal RNA
AUACUUACCUGGCAAGGAAGAUACCAUGAUAAUGAACGUGGUUUUCCUAGGGCGAGUCUUAUUCAUUGUACUCCAGGUGUGCUGACCCCUGAAAUUACCCCCAAAUGUGGAAAAUUCAACUGCAUAAUUUGUGGUACUGAGAGACUGCAUUCACAUUGUCCCCUG